GACGAACGCUGGCGGCGUGCCUAAUACAUGCAAGUUGAGCGCUGAAGGUUGGUACUUGUACCAACUGGAUGAGCAGCGAACGGGUGAGUAACGCGUGGGGAAUCUGCCUUUGAGCGGGGGACAACAUUUGGAAACGAAUGCUAAUACCGCAUAAAAACUUUAAACACAAGUUUUAAGUUUGAAAGAUGCAAUUGCAUCACUCAAAGAUGAUCCCGCGUUGUAUUAGCUAGUUGGUGAGGUAAAGGCACACCAAGGCGAUGAUACAUAGCCGACCUGAGAGGGGGAACGGCCACAAUGGGACUGAGACACGGCCCAAACUCCUACGGGAGGCAGCAGGAGGGGAUCUUCGGGAAUGGACGAAAGGCUGACCGAGCAACGCCGCGUGAGGGGAGGAGGUUUUCGGAUCGUAAAACUCUGUUGGUAGAGAAGAACGUUGGUGGGAGUGGAAAGCUCAUAAAGUGACGGUAACUACCCAGAAAGGGACGGCUAACUACGUG
rnacentral:rRNA from 1 species